rnacentral:rRNA from 1 species
CUUGUCUUAUGUUGCCAGCACGUAAUGGUGGGGACUCGUAAGAGACUGCCGGGGUCAACUCGGAGGAAGGUGGGGACGACGUCAAGUCAUCAUGCCCCUUAUGUCCAGGGCUUCACACAUGCUACAAUGGCCGGUACAGAGGGCUGCGAUACCGUGAGGUGGAGCGAAUCCCUUAAAGCCGGUCUCAGUUCGGAUCGGGGUCUGCAACUCGACCCCGUGAAGUCGGAGUCGCUAGUAAUCGCAGAUCAGCAACGCUGCGGUGAAUACGUUCCCGGGCCUUGUACACACCGCCCGUCACGUCAUGAAAGUCGGUAACACCCGAAGCCGGUGGCCUAACCCCUUGUGGGAGGGAGCCGUCGAAGGUGGGAUCGGCGAUUGGGACGAAGUCGUAACAAGGUAGC